rnacentral:rRNA from 1 species
AUACGGAGGGUGCAAGCGUUAUCCGGAUUCACUGGGUUUAAAGGGUGCGUAGGCGGUUUUAUAAGUCAGUGGUGAAAUCAACGGGCUCAACCUGUUAACUGCCAUUGAUACUGUAGGACUUGAAUAAGAGAGAGGUAGGCGGAAUGUUGCACGUAGCGGUGAAAUGCUUAGAUAUGCUACGGAACACCGAUUGCGAAGGCAGCUUACUAUUUCUUAAUUGACGCUGAGGCACGAAAGCGUGGGCAGC